AAUUAAAUUGAGGGAAGGCGAGUUAUAUGAAAACGGAUGCAAACUAGGUUUUGGGAUGCAUCAUCUUUUUCUUCUCUCUGAUUGUGCCGCUACUUGCAUUUCAUUGCGUAACAAUGGUUGCAGCUAAAAAAACUAAGAAGACCCAUGAGAGCAUCAACAACAGGCUCGCUCUUGUCAUGAAGAGCG